UAAGUUAUGGUGUAUGAUGCACAUAGAGUUUUGAUUUCUAUGGAUUAAGUUUAAUUCUUAAUGAUUUAA
rnacentral:tRNA from 1 species